AGCGACAAUAACUUGUUUCUAAAGAGCCUUCCAUUCUUCACUGAAAUCCAAAAUUGUAUGAGAUGAAAUUCUGCUCCAGGCAAAGAUCUUCAUGUUAUUGGCCUAGAUACAUUGAGAAUUUGAGAGCAAUAUACAAAUUUGUGCCUUUGCCAUACAUGACAAAUGACAAUGUAAUCUGUUCCUGUCCCAAAAAUCCUGGUCGCUCCAGAUUAAUAGGGGACAAAUUCGAACGGUGUGAGUCUUUUUCUGUGAAUAAGUCUUGUCCUGGAUGUGGAGGUGAGGGAAAGUUUGGAAGUGCUAUUGAUUCACUCCUCCGUUGCAUUGAAGGAGGAGAAUGAGGAGAAGCAGCCGGCCUCUUCCUCUGAGGUUCAUUACAAGCAUUUUUUCUCUAGAGUUGAUGGGGGUGGAUUUUCAGCUUCUGAAAUCUAGGGUUUUAACACUCAUGGAACAUGUAGGCGCUCUGUAUGCUUUCUGCAGUGGUACUCAGCUAGUUUUGUAGAACAUGGUAGAAUCCCCUCACAAGGGCUUUCUGGAGGUUGUAUGCAGUACCAGAAUCGGUGCAUGGCCGGCAAUAAGAGCCCUACGCCGUACAUAAAUCAUCAAGGGUAUUCGGUUUCAUAGUCUGGAGCAAAUUGUAACUGUUAAGGUGAUAGAUGGAUUUCGCCCCUGAGAAGACUGGGAUUACGAGAUUAAGUAUGCGGGAAUUAGCAGAUUGGGGUUUGAAGCGUUGGUCGUCUUUCUGUAAUGCAUAUAUUUGCCUUUGUUCUUCCGUAUAUUUUACUCACGGUUCUUUAGUGGAUGAUAGUGGGCGUAUGAUCGGGCUAAGGUUAGCAUGGUAAAACGAUCGGGUGUUUCCAAGUUCCUAAGCAGAAGAACAGUAGCAUCUGUUACUAGUAUAAACAUGGCGACAAUUUGCUGGAUAGCUGUUGUACUUGUCAAACGCCAGUGGUGUAAUGAUUGUUGGGCUUCUUUGUUGUUGCGUCAGUGGAAGGAAUCGGUCAAAUAGUCACAAACAAGUUGGUUUCUUUAUUUGAGCAGCAGAUCGUUGAUUGUGACAAGAGAAACAGUGGGUGUGACCAAGGUUAUAUGGAUCGUACAUUUGUGUACAUCAUCCAGAAUGGAGGUAGUGAAAGGGGGUGGAUUAUCCUUACAGUAGCGACCAUGUUGGUGCUUGUAACACAAGCCCCACAUGCCACUACUUCUCUUCCAUCAUUGUAAUUUAUUUUGAUUUUUUGACGUUUAUGACUAUUUAUAUGUAAAUAUAUAUUGUAUUGUAGAAAAACCUACAAGUUAAAAUUGAUGGCUACAAAUAUGUGCUUGCCAAUGAGAACUUGCUGCAAAAAACUGUAGCACAUUGAUCAGUUAGUGUGGCCCUGGUCGUUGAGUGCGGUGGUGACUUUGACAACUACCAAAAUGUAAUUCUACAACAAAUUCAUCACAUUUUAUUAUUACUUGUUUGACAUUGGUUUUGGGUCUUGCUAGCUUAGGAAUUGGCCCAGAUCUACUCUUAAAGAUACCCUAUUACGUAGUCAAAGUUAGCAAAACCCAAAACAAGUGCCAAACAAAUAAUAAUAAAAUGUGAUGAAUUUGUAGAAUUACAUUUUGGUAGUUGUCAAAGUCACCACCACACUCAACAACCACGACCACACUAACGGGUUGAUGGGCCACAACUUUUUUCAAUGACUUCUCAUCAGUAGGCACAUUUGUAGCCAUCAAUUUUUAACUUGUGGUUUUUAAUGCAAUACAAUAUAUAUUUGCAUUUGAAUGGUUAUGAACUCCAAAAAAUAAAAAUAAAUUUAAAAUGAUGGAAGAGAAGUAGUGGCAUACGAGGCUUUUGUCACAAGCAUCAACACAACCACCCUUGUAAGGAUAAUUCGUCUCCCUUUCGCUACCUCUAUAAUUUUUCAUACGAGGCUUGUGUUACAAGCACCAACACAAUUGUCCUUGUAAGGACAAUCCACCCACCUUUCACUACCUCAAGAAUUCUUGCACUUGUUAGUUCAACACAAACUACCCUUCACUGGCUAAGCAAGAAGCUGAUUAUAUAAUGGAGAGCUACAAUUCACAAGCUCGCAACCUUGCUUGGAAAGGGAAAACCACGCUACAUAAAGUGUUCAUACUAGUCUUGCUCUCCUUUUUAUGCUAUCAAAAUGUUCAUGGAUUUUGAAUGGUUAUCAUUUUUAUAUUUAUAUAUUUUUUUAUAUGUAUGAAAAAUUUAUAUUCAAAUAUAUGCUUGUGCCUUGAAAACUUUAGAGUUGGCAUUUUGUUGAAGGAUAUCUCUGUUGGCAUUCUACACUCUAAUGAGAAUAGUUGAUGUUGUCAUUGAUGGCAACCAACUGACAACCAACCGGCAAUAGGUUUCUACAUGCACCGACAUACACCGACACCGGCAGGUGCUUUCAUCGACAUCUAGUUCACACUGGAAAUGAAGAAUACGGGCACUCAGGCCGACAUGGGAUAAAGUUUUGUUUAUGUGAAUUGUUUUGUAAAUGUAAUUAACUAUUUGUAAGCCGACUUGGUAUAUUGUAAAAGACUCAUAUAUGUAUGAGAUCGUAUAGAUCAUUUUGUAAUGAAUGAGAUGUAUGGUAGAAGAUAGUUGUUUAGUGGCAGCGAAGGUUUUUGGUUAAGGUAUCUAUUUGAGCUUAAACCGGUACUGAACCUGGCAUUAGAGAUGCUGUUUUGAGCAGUACAUUGUAUUGGAUUUAAUUAUCCAUUUUGUAGUCAGUGAGACUCUUCAUUGAGCAGUGAGCUCUAGGCUGUUGGCCUCCGUGCAUGUGCAUGCCCCUAUUGUAAGUAGUAUUUAUUCAUUGGCCAAUGAGUAAAUAUUUUGGGUCACAAAUCCCAUCGAGGUUUUUCCCACACCAGGUUUCCUCGUUAAAUAUCUUGUGUUAUGGUGUGUUUCUAUGCUGUCUUUGUUAUUUGUGUUUACUGCAUUAAUUUUUGUUUACCGGUACACUGUUUUGGGUUGCAAAGUUAUAAAUAAGUUUAAAUAUUCAUUCAACCGGUUAGACACUAAUUCACCCCCCCCUCUCAGUGUCUUUGGGACUGUCAUUGAAUCUAAUAAUCUCAUCUUUUCAGUUGCUCAUUUUAGAGCAUCCUAUUUUGCUAUCACCAACCGAACUCAUGCAACUAGAGGAAACAAAAUGAGGUCUCCUCAUCCUCCAAUCUUUGAUAAUAAUUCAUCCUAUUUCUCAAAUUUUCUUUAAUAAUUUUCAAUUAGUUUCAUAACAUCACGAGGCCAAAAUUCACAUAUACCAAUUUCACAUUGUCUUUCCAAAAAACAAUUAUAAUCGCUAAUGAAAACACUAAGCUGUUAGGGUCUGAUGAAUAGUCUUUCUCAUGUCUAACAACCCAAAAAACAAAUAAAAUUAGCAUAUGUCAAGGCUUCAUGGGAGUGUAUACCAGUCUUGAAAGGCUCAAAACCUAUAGAAUCUUGAGAAUUGUAAGGAUCUCAACAAGAUGAAGAGUAGAGACUUGAUGAAGGUCUGAAAAUAAUAAUGCCUUCAACCUAUGACAAAGAUGUAGAGAUAUGAGUCUAUGCUUGUGAGUUCAAAGGGGCCUAUUGGGUGUCUAUGAUGUGGUAAAGUUUCCAAAGCAUGAAAAAUGUUGUCCAUGUGCCCAUGACAAGACCAAAUUUUCUAAAAGGAAAAUGGGUAAAAAAAUGUUUUAAGGCCCAAUUCUUUCAAGAGAAAGUGCAAAUAUAAUAACAAUAUUCACAAUGUUUUGAGGAGGUGCAAGAUAAAAUAAAAGAUGACAUUUUAAAUAUUGUUGAGUGCUAAAUGAAAUGAAACGAUUUCCAUCCAUUCCUCCACCUAAUUCCUAUUAUUAUGGGCUAUCCUCCAUUCACCACUUUUAAUUCCUUUGAUUUCCUCUUCAUCUGGAGAUUCCAUUUUGGAGGGAGUGCAUCUCGGUCUUUGAUUUUGAAAUGCUACAAUCUUGUUUUCUAGUGCAAGCUCUAGAGGUAGAGGGUUAAAGGGGGUGUUUGGGAUUCAUUUUAGGAUUGAUUAGUGUUUAUUCUUAGCAGACCUAGCUAGUGACAAAGCUUUUUAGAGUUUCAACCAUUGAAGUUUAGUUGCAAGAAAGUAGUGAAUUCUACUGAAGUGUUAGAAAAUAAUAUUGUGGAGAGUAUCAUAGGUUUCAUGUCUUGAGGACUUUAUAUACAGUUGUAGGAAUGGUUGUAAUAAGUGUUCCUCUUUCCAAAACUAUUGUUAUGUGUAAAUCUGAAUUGAUAAAUGUGACAGCAUUUUAAAAAUUAGUAUAGUCUUUAUAAUGAUCAAUUUGUACAUGGAUAUGUGCAACUUAGUAAUAGAUUACUAGGUAUGCUUUUCUAUGA